rnacentral:rRNA from 1 species
CAGAACGACUCUCGGCAACGGAUAUCUCGGCUCUCGCAUCGAUGAAGAACGUAGCGAAAUGCGAUACUUGGUGUGAAUUGCAGAAUCCCGUGAACCAUCGAGUCUUUGAACGCAAGUUGCGCCCGAAGCCGUCAGGCCGAGGGCACGNCUGCCUGGGCGUCACGCA